rnacentral:rRNA from 1 species
ACACAUGCAAGUCGAACGGCAGCAUGAUCUAGCUUGCUAGAUUGAUGGCGAGUGGCGAACGGGUGAGUAAUACAUCGGAACGUGCCCUGUAGUGGGGGAUAACUAGUCGAAAGAUUAGCUAAUACCGCAUACGACCUGAGGGUGAAAGUGGGGGACCGCAAGGCCUCAUGCUAUAGGAGCGGCCGAUGUCUGAUUAGCUAGUUGGUGAGGUAAAGGCUCACCAAGGCGACGAUCAGUAGCUGGUCUGAGAGGACGAUCAGCCACACUGGGACUGAGACACGGCCCAGACUCCUACGGGAGGCAGCAGUGGGGAAUUUUGGACAAUGGGGGCAACCCUGAUCCAGCAAUGCCGCGUGUGUGAAGAAGGCCUUCGGGUUGUAAAGCACUUUUGUCCGGAAAGAAAUCGCACUUACUAAUAUUAGGUGUGGAUGACGGUACCGGAAGAAUAAGGACCGGCUAACUACGUGCCAGCAGCCGCGGUAAUACGUAGGGUCCAAGCGUUAAUCGGAAUUACUGGGCGUAAAGCGUGCGCAGGCGGUUGUGCAAGACCGAUGUGAAAUCCCCGGGCUUAACCUGGGAAUUGCAUUGGUGACUGCACGGCUAGAGUGUGUCAGAGGGGGGUAGAAUUCCACGUGUAGCAGUGAAAUGCGUAGAGAUGUGGAGGAUACCGAUGGCGAAGCAGCCCCUGGGAUACACUGACGCUCAUGCACGAANGCGUGGGGNAGCAANCAGGAUUAGAUACCCUGGUAGUCCACGCCCUAAACGAUGUCAACUAGUUGUUGGGGAUUCAUUUCCUUAGUAACGUAGCUAACGCGUGAAGUUGACCGCCUGGGGAGUACGGUCGCAAGAUUAAAACUCAAAGGAAUUGACGGGGACCCGCACAAGCGGUGGAUGAUGUGGAUUAAUUCGAUGCAACGCGAAAAACCUUACCUACCCUUGACAUGCCACUAACGAAGCAGAGAUGCAUUAGGUGCUCGAAAGAGAAAGUGGACACAGGUGCUGCAUGGCUGUCGUCAGCUCGUGUCGUGAGAUGUUGGGUUAAGUCCCGCAACGAGCGCAACCCUUGUCUCUAGUUGCUACGAAAGGGCACUCUAGAGAGACUGCCGGUGACAAACCGGAGGAAGGUGGGGAUGACGUCAAGUCCUCAUGGCCCUUAUGGGUAGGGCUUCACACGUCAUACAAUGGUGCAUACAGAGGGUUGCCAAGCCGCGAGGUGGAGCUAAUCCCAGAAAAUGCAUCGUAGUCCGGAUCGUAGUCUGCAACUCGACUACGUGAAGCUGGAAUCGCUAGUAAUCGCGGAUCAGCAUGCCGCGGUGAAUACGUUCCCGGGUCUUGUACACACCGCCCGUCACACCAUGGGAGUGGGUUUUGCCAGAAGUAGUUAGCCUAACCGCAAGGGGGGCGAUUACCACGGCAGGGUUCAUGACUGGGGUGAAGUCGUAACAAG